rnacentral:piRNA from 1 species
UGUGAAUAGGAUCACGGGGUCUGGCCUGG